rnacentral:misc_RNA from 1 species
GAUGAAGAACGCAGCGAAAUGCGAUAAGUAAUGUGAAUUGCAGAAUUCAGUGAAUCAUCGAAUCUUUGAACGCACCUUGCACCCUUUGGCAUUCCGAAGGGUAUGCUCGUUUGAGUGUCAUUGUACUCUCACACUUCCAAUCUUUGGAUUGGGAGCGGUGGACUUGGGUGUUGCUGCUUACUGUGGCUCACCUCAAAUCGAUUCGUGCACCUCUUGGUUGGACAUAGUACGGCGUGAUAAGUGUCUUCGCCGGCACCUCAGUAGAGGGUGGCUGAUCAGGAGCUCUGUGCUUCAAACCGUCCUCGGACAACAACUGACAACUUGACCUCAAAUCGAGUAGGACUACCCGCUGAACUUAAGCAUAUCAAUAAGCGGAGG